CGCAAGCCUGACGGAGCAAGACCGCGGGGGGGAUGACGGCCUAAUGGUUGUAAACCGCUUUUCUCUGGGAAGAUGAUGACGGUACCAGAGGAAUCAGCCUCGGCUAACUCCGUGCCAGCAGCCGCGGUAAUACGGAGGAGGCAAGCGUUAUCCGGAAUUAUUGGGCGUAAAGCGUCCGCAGGGGGCGCAUCAAGUCUGCUGUUAAAGGUCGGAGCUAAACUCCGGUAGAGCAGUGGAAACUGGUGCGCUAGAGGGCGACAGGGGUAGAGGGAAUUCCCAGUGUAGCGGUGAAAUGCGUAGAGAUUGGGAAGAACACCGGUGGCGAAAGCGCUCUACUGGGUCGCACCUGACCCUCAGGGACGAAAGCUAAGGUAGCG
rnacentral:rRNA from 1 species